AGCCCUGAGGUGUUUUACAUAUCAGAUUGCAAAUCUGAAGAAGAAGACUAGCCAUCUUCCGGGGCUU
rnacentral:tRNA from 1 species